UACGUAGGUCCCAAGCGUUAUCCGGAAUUACUGGGUUUAAAGGGUGCGUAGGCGGGCAGGUAAGUCAGUGGUGAAAUCUCCGAGCUUAACUCGGAAACUGCCGUUGAUACUAUUUGUCUUGAAUAUUGUGGAGGUAAGCGGAAUAUGUCAUGUAGCGGUGAAAUGCUUAGAUAUGACAUAGAACACCAAUUGCGAAGGCAGCUUACUAUGGUGUCAUUGACGCUGAGGCACGAAAGCGUGGGGAUCAAACAGG
rnacentral:rRNA from 1 species